UGCAUAGGAGAAAGGGGUCACUGAUGAACGC
rnacentral:piRNA from 1 species